rnacentral:misc_RNA from 1 species
GGGAGUUGUUCGACCACGAAGCCGCAACAACCUGCGCAACACCAAUAUUGCUACAGUUUCUACGCGCUUUGUUACUGAGUUGCCUGACGAAAUUCGGUGGAAACUUAAAAAUCGGGAAAGAAGACAAGCCGUGAGACGCCACCGUUCCCUUCACCGAUUUGGCUUCGUGAGCGAAUCGGCCAUAGCUGUUCCCUCGAUGAGCAGCUGCAACAGCAAGAACGGGAUCGGAGCGGCACUCGAAUGUAGGGGCGAGGAGUCUGGCGUGAGAAGAAACAGCCAUGGCGGAAGAGAAAACGAUGAAAGAGAUCGGAGACGGUGGUGGUUCGGAUCGGAAAAGAGAAGUUGGAAAUGGCUUUUUGUGUGUGGACUGUGGAAUACAAGAACAUCAGCUUCACUGUCUGGGACGUUGGGGGUCAAGACAAGAUCCGACCAUUGUGGAGGCAUUAUUUCCAAAACACCCAAGGACUUAUUUUUGUGGUGGAUAGCAAUGACAGAGACCGUGUA